GAACUGCAAGCAAUGGGUAAAUACAGAGAAUGGAAGACGUAUCAUCACCAAGCCCCCUGAUGCCUGUCUACUCCCCCCUGGCUUGUGACUUCUAUAACAUCUUUCUCCAGCUAACGCCCACGUUCACAACCAAUCUCCUCACUGACUGGUGCCUGCCUUCUCGUCCUGGUUUAUUACACAAUAAAUAUGACAGUGAACUGACA